rnacentral:lncRNA from 1 species
CAAAAGAGUGAAUCAGAUUUUCUGGAUGUCCCACUGUGCCAGGAAUUAACCCUUUAGUUUCUGGAUCCUGGGGAAGUUCCUGAGGUUCCAGAAGAGGGGCUGGGUAGCUGACAGUGGGGAAGCAAACAGAGAGCUUGAGUCAAUGUCUAUUUACUCAGACCCCCUGCUGUUUCCACAUGGCCUGGGCCUUCUCACUGGACUGAAUGUUUCAAGUGUGCACUCUGAACCUGGAGCCUGAAGAAGGGUAGAGGAUACAAGGCCAGCUGGACGUGCAGAGCUGAGAUUGCUGCUUAGCCAAAGGCCCCCAAGUUCUCACCCGUUACCCGAGAUGAAACACCUCAGGAAAUCCAGGCAACCUGAUGACCAGCUGCUUAUAAAAAGCGAUUCUAAAUACACUUUCCAAUCAUUUAUAGAAGAAAGC